AACGAACGCUGGCGGCGUGCCUAACACAUGCGAGUCGAACGAGAAAGGGGCUUCGGCUCCGAGUAAAGUGGCGCACGGGUGAGUAACACGUGGGUAACCUGCCUCUAAGAUUGGGAUAACUCGUCGAAAGAUGAGCUAAUACCGAAUAAGACCACAGUUCCCGCGGGAACAGGGGUCAAAGGUAGCCUCUGCUUGCAAGCUAUCACUUAGAGAUGGGCCUGCGCACCAUUAGCUAGUUGGUAGGGUAACGGCCUACCAAGGCAAAGAUGGUUAGCUGGUCUGAGAGGAUGAUCAGCCACACUGGACCUGAGACACGGUCCAGACUCCUACGGGAGGCAGCAGUGGGGAAUAUUGCGCAAUGGGCGAAAGCUUGACGCAGCAACGCCGCGUGAGUGAUGAAGGCCUUCGGGUCGUAAAGCUCUGUCGGGAGGAACGAAUGCUCCUGAGGUUAACAGCCUCGGGAGGUGACGGUACCUUCAAAGGAAGCACCGGCUAACUCUGUG
rnacentral:rRNA from 1 species